UGAACUUUAAUGACCCAAGCCAGAGCAAUCAGCACCAGAUCGAGUCGAGUGGCUCUCAGCCAAUUAAAUUACGCUGUUUGAUCACAUGACACCGUUAGCCAGCAGUUUGUCUCCUAAAAGAGAGCUGUUUAGAGGAAAACGUUUGACUAACUCAAAGACAAUUUCCACGCCUCCCCUGCCUGACUGCAGAGGCAGUUUUGAAUUUAGGAGCAGCAAGAUGGAAGCGGCAAACCCUGGCGAUUCUCCGAUUAUGCAAGAUGUAAUUAUUCAGUCAGCAAGACACUUGCUGCAGUUACUGACA